UUCUAUAAAACAAAAAGACUCUGGAAGAGACGUUGCUCAGUGAAGAGCUAGGAGGCUACCACAGCUUCUUGUUACCACAAAAUGCUGAGAUGUUCUAACUCCAGCUAAUCAGCACACUCACGGAAAGGAGUGAUGCUGUCUCCUUCCCAGAAGAUAUACCUUGAUGUUUCUUCUCUCUAAAGAACAGAUACAUCUUUGCCAUGUGUUGUCUGUGGAUGAAGGUGCGCUCCACUGAAGCAGUCCUUUCUGAGCUACUGACUGGAAAUUGAGUUUGGUGGCCACAUCCAAGAACUUGCCAUGCAUGUGGAUCACCAUUCCCGUGGGCAGAAGGUAGGUUAGUUUUCUUGGUUUUAUUAUUAUUUUCUUUCUUUC
rnacentral:lncRNA from 1 species